GAUGAACGCUGGCGGCGUGCCUAAUACAUGCAAGUCGAGCGAACAGAUGAGAAGCUUGCUUCUCUGAUGUUAGCGGCGGACGGGUGAGUAACACGUGGGUAACCUACCUAUAAGACUGGGAUAACUCCGGGAAACCGGGGCUAAUACCGGAUAAUAUUUUGAAUCGCAUGGUUCAAUAGUGAAAGACGGUUUCGGCUGUCACUUAUAGAUGGACCCGCGCCGUAUUAGCUAGUUGGUAAGGUAACGGCUUACCAAGGCGACGAUACGUAGCCGACCUUAGAGGGUGAUCGGCCACACUGGAACUGAGACACGGUCCAGACUCCUACGGGAGGCAGCAGUAGGGAAUCUUCCGCAAUGGGCGAAAGCCUGACGGAGCAACGCCGCGUGAGUGAUGAAGGUCUUCGGAUCGUAAAACUCUGUUGUUAGGGAAGAACAAAUUUGUUAGUAACUGAACAAGUCUUGACGGUACCUAACCAGAAAGCCACGGCUAACUACGUGCCAGCAGCCGCCGUAA
rnacentral:rRNA from 1 species